AUGUCCUUAGUGUAAUUUGGCAACACAGUAGUCUCCAAAACUACUAUUUUAGGUUCGAGUCCUAAAGGACAUGCCA
rnacentral:tRNA from 1 species